rnacentral:lncRNA from 7 species
AGAGAUGAUGAGAAACAGAUGGCCUGUGGGGGGAAGUCUUUAAUUGCAUUACAUAGAGAGUAAAGAUGAGGAAUGACAAUCAGUUUUUCUUUGAAGGUUCCUGCUUGUAGCUGAAUGCAGCAGUCAGGAUGAGAUGAGUGCCUGGCCUAGCAUUACCUCUGGAUAUGAUAUUCAAAACAGAUGAUCUGUGCUUAGAUGCAAGUUUCUGAGUUGGUCUCAGCUCUAGAAGUUACUGGCUUGACCUAAAGCUAGUAAGUCAGUGGGAAUCUUAAGAUGGGUUUUGAAGGAUUUUGGGUCAGGAUUUUUGUGAAUAUCACGUUCAGUAAUGCAUUGAGACCGACCUCCUAUAUUUUGCUUUGGACACUGACAUUGGACAAGGGCAAUCUAAAAAAAAACCUUUGAGCUGAUGAUUAAGAGGGAGGAAACCUGAAAUAGUAAAUGAUUAUCUCACAAGAGUCUCACUUAGUGCUUUAACAUAUUCAAAGUAAUAUAUUUACAUUCUCUAAGGAAGGCAAAUGGAGAUGUAAAAAUACCUCUUAAGACUUACUUUAUACUUCUGUGAAUGUUUCUGGAGUGUGAUUACCAUUGUUGAGUUUUCUAAGUACAGCACCUUGACAGAAAUAGCUUGUAACCUCAAUGAUUGUUGGAAAAUGGUUGUCUUUCACCUGGUUCUUUUCUCUGAUGUGUUUAAGGAUUCAAAACCAAGGAAACUGGAAAAUGAAAUAACUCACUUAGAACAUUGGGUAUCCACUGCUUAGUGUGAAUAGCAAGCAAAGACAAAGCAUCUCUAAAUGUGAAAAAAUUUCUUUUUAUUUAUAAUGCACUUGUGGAGUUGCUAUUCAGACAAAAGUUCCCAUUUGAUGAAAUAAAUUCAGUGUAACCCUUUAAGUAAAUUCUGCCUGCUAAUAAACAUGGCCUGUAGAUCAGGCAGAAGAUUGCUGUGUUGAUAUGGGAGCACUGCAUCAUCACUCAUUGUCUGGAAGGUGUGAUUACAGAAUGCAUAAAGGGGUUGUAAAGGGGCUGAGAUGUAUGAUUUCUGUGGUACUGUACAAACCAGUUCUAAGCCUGGUAAUGUCAAAUGCUGCUUAUGUGGGAGAAAAUCUUUGUCAGAUGCAAUCCAGUGACUUCAGACAAGUGGAAAGAAUGGUGUGAAAUAAAAAGUGUUCUGAAAC